GACAGAGGGGGCAAGCGUUGCUCGGAAUUACUGGGCGUAAAGGGCGCGUAGGCGGGAUGGCAAGUCGGUCGUGAAAUCCUUCGGCUCAACCGAAGAACGUCGAUCGAUACUGCUGUUCUUGAGGGUUGCAGAGGAGACUGGAAUUCCCGGUGUAGCGGUGAAAUGCGUAGAGAUCGGGAGGAACACCAGUGGCGAAGGCGGCUACCUGGACCAGCACUGACACUGAGGCACGAAAGCGUGGGGAGCGAACCGG
rnacentral:rRNA from 1 species